UGAAAACGUGUUUAGAGAGAGAGUGAAGAAUGAGGGUGUACCUGGCGGAGCCACCAUCCUCUGCCACUUCUGAAACAAGCAGGUCUUCAGGCAGUCUCGGGGACUGAGGUUUAGAGACGGGAUUUCACCGUGUGUCCAGGAUGGUCUCAAUCUCCUGACCUCAUGAUCUGCCCACCUCGACCUCCCAAAGUGCUGGGAUUACAGGCGUGAGCCACCACGCCCAGCCUAGAUGAGGAAACCGUGGCAAAAACAGAUGAAAUAAGUCAUCUGAAGCCAUACAACCAAGAAAUUUCUGGCAAGAACUUCUGGCAGUCUCCUGUUUCCCAGAUGCCCGGCUCCUCACUGACGUGCACAUAACAGCAAAUCUAUAACAAUCCUCCUUCCAAUUACAUCAGGUGGUGGGGGGGGGGGCGCGAGCAGGAGGGCAUAAGAAGGUCAGUACCCUAGAAGGCAGCCUCAUUUACUCAUCCACUAAGAAAAUAAUGACUGAACACCUACCAGGUUCCAGGCACUUGGGAAAAGGCAGUGAGCAAGACUGAUGAAGGCCCCAGCCCGCAAAGCCUCAUAUUCAAAAGCUGGGACAGAGAUGAGAGAAAAGUAAAGAAAUAAACAAGACAUCCUGGAUGGCGAUAAAUGCCAUGAAGAUAAUAAAACAGGGUUAUGUGAUAGAAAAUGGCCAGAAAUGAGGAUAGCAGGUUUGAUGGAGGUCUUUUCAAGAGGACAUGCAAUCAGGACCCAAUCAUGCAAUGAUGUGUGGGAAGAACCUUCCCAUAGGCCGGAGGGAGGGAUGGGCUUGGUUUAUGUGACAAAGGCUAAGUGGCUGUAGCAGAGAGAACUAAGGGAAGAGAAGCAGAGGCUAGAUGAUGGUGAGCCUUAUAAUCGAUUCAAAGACAUUCCAAGUAAGUGCAAAAGGAGGCCAUCAGAGGGGCCCUUGUGGACAUUGCAAUACAAUGUUGAAGUCCAAAAACAAUAGUCUAUUCAUUGACCUACCCUUAUUUCCUAAACUCUAAAUAAUGCUCAAUAAUUUUUUUUUAACCAAUUUACAAAUGGUUUUUUUACUUGUGCCUUCGUUUUGUUUUUGUUUUUUGUUUUGUUUUGUUGUUAUACUUCUAGCGUACAAUGUGCAGGUUUGUUACAUACGUAUACAUGUGCCAUGUUGGUGUGCUGCACCCAUUAACUCAUGAUUUAUAUUAGGUAUAUCUCCUAAUGCUAUCCCUCCCCCCUCCCCCCACCCCACCAUAGGCCCCAGUAUGUGAUGUUCCCCACCCUGUGUCCAAGUGUUCUUAUUUUCACUUCCCACCUGUGAGUGAGAACAUGCGGUAUUUGGUUUUCUGCCCUUGUGAUAGUUUGCUCAGAAUGAUGGUUUCCAGCUUCAUCCAUGUCCCUACAAAGGACAUGAAUUCAUCCUUUUUAUGGCUGCAUAGUAUUCCAUGGUGUAUAUGUGCCACAUUUCCUUAAUCCAGUCUAUCAUUGAUGGACAUUUGGGUUGGUUCCCAGUCUUUGCUAUUGUGAAUAGUGCCG
rnacentral:lncRNA from 1 species